UGAUAGGUUUUUUUGCUGUUAUAUUCUUCUUAUAAUAAUAUUAUAGGUUUCCGGGCCUAUAGCUCAGUUGGUUAGAGCGCUACACUGAUAAUGUAGAGGUCCCAGGUUCAAAUCCUGGUAGGCCCACUUUUGAAGCAAGCGUCUAAUUUAGGAGCAUUGCUCAAAGCCGAAUAAUUAAAAGAAGCUCGUAAGGGUUGAAUUAAUUAUUAAUGGGGGAUUAGCUCAGCUGGCUAGAGCGCCUGCCUUGCACGCAGGAGGUCAUCGGUUCGACUCCGAUAUCCUCCACUAUUCUUUUCUAAGAAUAAGAUGGAGAAGGAAAAAGAGAAACAAGCAACACAGAGGUGUUGCUCAUUAACAUUUUGGAACAACAUUUAGCUAACAAUCGCUAUAUAGAUCGCCGACAUUUAAUCUUCGGUCAGAUUGUUACGAAAAUGCCAAAUAUGUUGAAAGACGUUCAUUGACAUAAUGUGAAGAUUAACUAAAAUCAUUAAGAAAUUACGAAGAAAGUAAUUAAGAGCACACGGUGGAUGCCUUGGC
rnacentral:tRNA from 1 species